AGUCACUGACAUUAGAUACCCGCGUAGUCCCAGCCGUAAACUAUGCUCGCUAGGUGUCAGGCAUGGCGCGACCGUGUCUGGUGCCGCAGGGAAACCGUGAAACGUGCCGCCUGGGAAGUACGGUCGCAAGGCUGAAACUUAAAGGAAUUGGCGGGGAGCACCACAACGGGUGGAGCCUGCGGUUUAAUUGGACUCAACGCCGGGAAGCUCACCGGAUAAGACAGCGGAAUGAUUGCCGGGCUGAAGACUCUGCAUGACUAGCUG
rnacentral:rRNA from 1 species